UCUUCGGAGAGUUUGAUCCUGGCUCAGGACGAACGCUGGCGGCGUGCCUAAUACAUGCAAGUCGAGCGAAUGGAUGGGAGCUUGCUCCCUGAAGUUAGCGGCGGACGGGUGAGUAACACGUGGGCAACCUGCCUGUAAGACUGGGAUAACUUCGGGAAACCGGAGCUAAUACCGGAUACGUUCUUUCCUCGCAUGAGGAAAGAUGGAAAGACGGUUUCGGCUGUCACUUACAGAUGGGCCCGCGGCGCAUUAGCUAGUUGGUGAGGUAAUGGCUCACCAAGGCCACGAUGCGUAGCCGACCUGAGAGGGUGAUCGGCCACACUGGGACUGAGACACGGCCCAGACUCCUACGGGAGGCAGCAGUAGGGAAUCUUCCGCAAUCU
rnacentral:rRNA from 1 species